CUUAUCUCGAUGCGCUUGUUGAGAGUUUGGAGAGGCGUUUUGGGAGUCUAGACCUGCUAGGAGCAUUCCAUGUUCUUGGGCCUCAGGCUGCCAAGGAGGACGAGGCUGUCUGUGUGAGGAAUCUAAAACUCCUGUCAAAUAAAUUUCUGACAGGAGACCAGGUGAUCCAAGAGUGGACCUCUUUCAGGCAACAUAUCCUGAUAGGAGCAUUUCAGGGCAUGGACCAGCAGCAGAUAAUGACGCGACUGGCGUCACAGAUUGACGAGUGGGGUCAGCUUUAUCCUGGACUCAAUAAACUGGCUGCCAUUGGUCUCACAAUUCCAAUCUCAAGUGUCAACUGUGAGCGUGACUUUUCAACACUGAACAGGGUGAAGACUGACCUGAGAAACAGGCUACAGGGAGAGCAUCUGGCGACUUGUUUGAGAGUCAGCAUCAAUGGCCCCCCCACCACCAAAUUCCCCUACAGAAGAGCACUGGAGCUCUUCUUUAAAAAGCCCAGGAGAAUUAAAUGCUCCCAGGCUGGAUGUAGCCUUUGUG